rnacentral:rRNA from 1 species
AUUGAACGCUGGCGGCAGGCCUAACACAUGCAAGUCGAGCGGAUGAAGGGAGCUUGCUCCUGGAUUCAGCGGCGGACGGGUGAGUAAUGCCUAGGAAUCUGCCUGGUAGUGGGGGAUAACGUCCGGAAACGGGCGCUAAUACCGCAUACGUCCUGAGGGAGAAGGUGGGGGAUCUUCGGACCUCACGCUAUCAGAUGAGCCUAGGUCGGAUUAGCUAGUUGGUGGGGUAAAGGCCUACCAAGGCGACGAUCCGUAACUGGUCUGAGAGGAUGAUCAGUCACACUGGAACUGAGACACGGUCCAGACUCCUACGGGUGGCAGCAGUGGGGAAUAUUGGACAAUGGGCGAAAGCCUGAUCCAGCCAUGCCGCGUGUGUGAAGAAGGUCUUCGGAUUGUAAAGCACUUUAAGUUGGGAGGAAGGGCAGUAAGUUAAUACCUUGCUGUUUUGACGUUACCAACAGAAUAAGCACCGGCUAACUUCGUG